rnacentral:rRNA from 1 species
UACGUAGGGGGCAAGCGUUGUCCGGAAUCAUUGGGCGUAAAGCGCGUGUAGGCGGUCCGGUAAGUCUGCUGUGAAAGUCGGGGGCUCAACCCUCGAAUGCCGGUGGAUACUGUCGGGCUAGAGUGCGGAAGAGGCGAGUGGAAUUCCUGGUGUAGCGGUGAAAUGCGCAGAUAUCAGGAGGAACACCUAGUGCGAAGGCAGCUCGCUGGGACGUAACUGACGCUGAGACGCGAAAGCGUGGGGAGCAAACAGG